GACGAACGCUGGCGGCGUGCUUAACACAUGCAAGUCGAGCGAGAAACUUCGGUUUCUAGCGGCGGACGGGUGAGUAACACGUGGGCAGCCUGCCUCACAAUGGGGGAUAGCCUUCCGAAAGGAAGAUUAAUACCGCAUAACACAAAGGAAACGCAUGUUUCUUUUGCCAAAGAAUUUCGUUGUGAGAUGGGCCCGCGGCGCAUUAGCUUGUUGGUGAGGUAACGGUUCACCAAGGCGACGAUGCGUAGCCGACCUGAGAGGGUGAUCGGCCACAUUGGAACUGAUACACGGUCCAGACUCCUACGGGAGGCAGCAGUGGGGAAUAUUGCACAAUGGAGGAAACUCUGAUGCAGCAACGCCGCGUGAGUGAUGAAGGUCUUCGGAUUGUAAAGCUCUGUCUUCUGGGACGAUAAUGACGGUACCAGAGGAGGAAGCCACGGCUAACUACGUGCCAGCCGCCGCCGUAA
rnacentral:rRNA from 1 species